UAGACACUCAGAAAUUCAAGUAGAUCAGAAUUGCUUGAGGAAGAAAGGUAAGACAAAAAAAUCCGGUAUGUGAAUCUUCCUAAACUUACCUGAGAGUUUUUGACAAGUCCACUCAGCUGAGUAGCAUGCAGCUUGAAAUUAUUGGGAAUCUCCACAAUUUAAUUCAGAGGCACCAAAGGAGACUGUGUUCUUCCAAAGUUCUGUCCAAACUGACUGGGUAUUUUGGGAAGCAUGUCUGAACUUAAACAUGUAAAUCCCCACUAAUCUUCUUUCCCUGCAUGUGAGGUCCUUGCACUUCCCCCCUGAAGUCUAGAAUGAAAUAAUCAAGACACAACAGGGAGAGGAAUUGUGACUGUGUCAGAACAGGGGUGAGAUCUGAUAUGUCAGUGGGAACUAGAUUAGAUAGGAUUUAAAGUUGUAACUCCUGAGGACAGAGUUGACGGGUUUUUGUCAAAGGGUCAGAGAGACUGUAUAAAAGUAAGAUGUGAGAGACUGUGAAUAAGAAGAGACUAAGGAUUAACAAUAAGUAAGCAAACAGUAGGAAGGAGUAGAAAAACAUAGAUGAGAGUGGAGGUACCGUAAAGGUCAGAACUGAGUUCUGACUUAAAGAUAGAAGGAAAACAAGGAAAGCCAAUAAGUAUAGAGAAAGACUUUCACUGACAGCAUUCCAAAGGGGUUACUUAAUAUCAAAGGCCACGUUGUGUGGCAUUGCCCCAUAAAUAAGGCCGGUAAUCCAGACUGAAAUGACCGGCCCUGGUUCACUUAAGAAAAGAUAAACUUGAGAGCAACAUGAACAGCUUCAGAAAAGACACUGUAAUAUUGCUUCAAGUUUGAUGUGCAUAAGAUAAAUAUUGAAAGGAUUAAUCCACACAAAAUGAAAGACAAAUGCAGUGAAAAACUGAGGGGGCUGAAGGAAAAUUCUGUUCCUUUCAAUUUUCUGGAAAAUUCAGGAAAAUGUAAAUGUUGGUAUUACAAAUACCCUCUUCAGCUAGUAACUGUUUGGGUUUCCUCUCUACUCCACUCUCUAUUUUGCAUUAGUCCAGCAAGAGUUCUGUAACCUCUUUCACUUUCCUUUUCUAUCCCUUCACUGUUACCCCAAUGUAACAGCCUUUUUUUCUUCUCUUCAUCUCCCAUUCCAUCUUUUCCUCCUUAUCACUGCCCCAGAGAGACUUGGAAGACACUGGUUCAAUCAGGGAGGGGUGGCUAUAUGAGGAGUUGGAGGAGAAGGAGGAAGAGAAAUCUGUGACUCCACAAGUUCAGGACUGUGUCUUUUACAUUUGCCAGGAUCUCCCUAGCUGUCCAGCCCAGCUGUCCACUGCCAACCAGCAGCAAAUCUCCCUCUCUACUCACAAACACAAGAGCUGAGUUCACAGGAGGAUCCUCACUGUUGGUGGAUGCAGACUUGUCCCUGUUGCAGACCUGGCUGGUUGUGGAAGAGGAGCUGGGGACACCCACAGAAACAUCACUGACAGCACAGAUCAAAAAAGCAAGCCCAAGUGCACUCUAGGAAUGACAUCCUCUGGAACAGGACCUUUCCUGAGGGAAAUAAUGCUUGGAGGAGGUUGCUGGCCUGGGGCAAAGAUUCCAGCAUUCAGAUUUCCCUACCAUUCAUCAACUUCCAGCUAAACGUCUGCUUUAUGCUGAAUGAGCUUCAGUGACUUAUUGAAGAAUUGCCUUAGAAGUCUGUGGUAGAUUCAGGGAAUGAAUGCAUCUCAGAACUUUGUAGAAAACGUCUCACUGGCUGCAACAAGGACCAGCAUAUUGGUGUGGAGUAGUGGUGAACUAGGCUGACAACUGAGCUGGCCAAAAAAUAAUGCAGCAACAGCAAAACCAACUGACCUCCAAUGCUCAGUGCUUUUUCAGAAACUGGGAAUAGUGGUAAAUAUUCUUUCUGUUAAAUGAAAUGGGUGUUUUGGAAUGGGAAAGCUACAAAAUGUCUAUUGCCCGGGGAGGCAAUACUACUUAUGUUAACUUUGAGCCUGUCUAACCUCAAACUGUAACCAUGUGUUCCCAUGGAUUCCCUUUUGCCACCUUUGACAGUUAUCUAGCCAUGCUGUAAACUGAUUCAGGAAUCCAAAAUGGCAGAAAAGUAGAAGAGGAAAGUAAAUAGAGUUUUCUACUGGUUUGACUCCUUGAACUGUCUCACAGUGUGGUUGGAUGAGUGAUUGAUUGUAAAGGAUGGAUGAGAACAGACAGCUGGAAGCUGGGAGUGAGGGAAAUAGGACCUCCUUUAGAUGGCUGCUAACUGUUAGUUAUAUCAGCCUAGCUGUGUUUUCUAGAUGCCUUUUUUCUUUUUUUUUUUCCUGGGACUGGCUGAGAAUCCCAGAAUUUGGGGUGUCCUUGGUGAGCUGUGAAUACUAGGAACUAGGAAACUGGAAAGAAAAGUAGAAGGCAAUUUGGAGUUACAGAUGCACACGUGAUCCUAUCUGUGUCCAGACCUCCUUAGGUACAAGCUUGUGCAGAGCUGGAAAUCAUAAGCAAGACAAAAAUAAAAAAAUAAAAAUCAGAAAGUAAGCCCCAUGCUGUCCUUCUUUACUACUGUUUUGGGGGAAAUUGA